rnacentral:lncRNA from 1 species
UUGGCUGAUUCUGCAAUUAAUCUUUGAGUCGGUUUUCCUAGUCUCUGUUGUGGAAGUUCUUGAGCCAUAGACCAUGGCUGUGGUAAUCCUCGUCGUUUAGGUGGACAUUGCUCAUGUGGACUCAAAUGUUCAUUUGUACCAUCAAUAACAGUGACUUGAUCACCUUGAGUACUGGAGGAAUUGGGAACGUCUUCCUCAUGAGCGGGUGUUUUAAUCUCAAACUCCACCUUCUCUCGAGCAUCUUCCUGGUCACCUGUAUCAAUUGAGGAAAUAACAGUAUCUUUUA